AAAAAGCACAGGGAAUGGUGUCUUGUAGCUUCUUUGUCUCUGUGGGCCAUGGUGACCUGGCAGGACUUGAGUAGUUGGUAAGUGAAGGCACCUGCUACAAAUUUUCUCCAUAAUGUAAUUUUUAUUUUCCAAAGCUGCUCUUUGAUUCUUUGCCAGGGAACUUUGUCAGGCAGUCUGGUUUUGUUCAGUUGAGACUAGACAUAUUUAUUUCACGCAUUUUCCAUGUUGAGGUGAUGUGGCUUCAGACAGCUCACUGAAAACAGUGAGUCCCCAGUCAUUAAUACUGGCUGAGGGGAGAGCAUACUGUAGCCCAAGAAUUUGGGAUGGCAUCUGAAAGUGGUUUCAGACAAUCUUCAUGAUUUGGUGAUUUUCGGUUGUGCAAAGUAAUCUGAGGGUUCUGUGGUUGCUUUUUCUGAGAAUAGAUCUAAUCUAGCCUCCACAAAAACAGCACCACCCAGCAACUGAGAUGGUUUUAAGAGAACAAAUAAGGUUAAAUUGGCAGUUCUUAUGGUGCAGGUGGUCUUGCAACAACUGCUGUGGUGUCCUUUCAUGGGGCAGGUUGUGCAGUACACAAAGGAUACAUCCCUGUGACAGCAUACCUGUCUGCAGUGGUAUUCCAGAAGGGACACUGAUGACUUGCUGAGCUGCAGAGCAGACAGAUGAGCUGCUGGAGUCUGGUGUGUUCCCCCUCAGCAAAGGCUCAGUGCCAAGAUUGUUCAAACAUUAAUCAGAAACCUCUUCUGGAGCAGUGUCAAGAAACUUUGACAUAUCUGUGAUAUUUACCAUUUCUGUGUGAAAGUGGAGGCCUGUUCACAUUCAUCAAAGUUCUUAAAGCUGUCCCCAAGGAAUUCUCCCAUGUCACUGGUAAACGUGACAGAUCUGGUGUGUAGAAAAAAAACGAGCAGAAGGAGAUAGGAAGGGAUUGUGUGUCCCUCCCCAUCCAAAUUACAGCAAAAUCUACCAAAAAAACCCUUUAUGGGCUAACACAUUUAUGCAAAGCAACUAUUCAUGUUCUGUACCCAUCUGGUUCUUUUCUGAAUAGAUGUAAAACAUUCCUCUUUCUUCAAAUUGCAGUGUGGAACUGAGGGGCCACGUGAGAUGGAGCAGCGUGAGAUGUUGUACAGCAUUAUCAUUAGUGACCUAUAAAUGCUAGUCAGAGUGUUUUGUAGCUGUUAUGCUUACCUGAAGGUAACUGUACAGCAAAGCUAAAAUAUUCCUUUUUUUUCGUGAGUGAAGCAUGCUGCUUUAUCAGUCUUGAUUGUACCUAUUUGAUUCCUGUGCACACACACACAUGGCUGGUAUAUACAUUUAGGAUAUAUGUGCUGCAUUUAUUUAUCUGUUUGCCAGGACCAAUUUUUUCUGAUUGUAUUUAUCCUUUAAUGUGUAAUUGGUUUUCACAACUUUACACCUAUCCUGAGUAGAUCUGUUAUCAUUCUUGGGUUUGAAUGUCCUUUAAUUUGUUUUACUAUCAAAAGAGGCUAUAUAUAAUAAGACAGAAAUAUGUCUCAUCCUCUUUCAUUUUCAGUUUAGGCUGCAUCGGUUUUAUUCCCUUCACUUUUAGUAAGUCUAAGGUCCAUUGCAGACCUGUGAAUACAGUUCUUUCAGCAAAAACAAAGGCAAAAAAACCCCUGAACUUUGGCGCCUUUUUUUUUUUUUUUUUUUUUUUGGUAGAGGUGGUUUUUUUGUUGUAGUUGGGUUUUUUUUUGUCUGUUUGUUUUUGGGGUUUUUGUUGGGGUUUUUUUUGGUUUUUUUGGUGUGUUUUUGUGUUUGGUUUUUUUGUGAGUUUUUUGUGUGUGCUUUUUUUUUGUUUGGGGGUUUUUGGGGGGGUUUUUUGUUUGUUUGGUUGGUUUUUUUUGUUUGUUUUUUUUUUGUGAAGCCACUCAGAAGUGGAGUAUUCUAUUUAUCUCUUUCAUAAAGAAUUUUGGAAAAAGCAGGUUGGAUUCUGGGAACAAACUGACCUUCUUGCCCUCACCACAAAAGUUUGAAAGGAUAUUUUCUCCCCAAAGUGUCUUGCUACAAAAACACGACCUACCUGUUUACCAGACUCAUUCCUGGAUAUGAAAUAAAUUUCAGUGACUCAGUGCUUCCUAUUAAGCAAUAUUCCCAGUAUUCAGAGGAAGGUGAUGGAAUUUUCUGUGCUCUCUGGCAAAUAAUUUAUUUUCAGCACAUCUAAAAACCUUACUGCCAAUGCCUUUCUUAUAUCAUUUUCUUUUAGAAACUAAAGAGGUAUUUUUUGUAUCUCAGCACCAGGUAAUAUACAAGUAUUUAUACAUGAAUAAUAUUACACCAAUAAUCAUUUCCCAAACUGUAAAAUGAACAGAACAGCUACAAACAGACAAUUUUCAGAUAUGUGAUAAGAAACGUGAAGAUAAUAUGAACAAUUUUCUACAAUAACAAUAUGAAAGUCUACUGCUACCUAUGGACCAUUCUGUGGUUCAUUGUUAUUUUAUUUAUUCAUAAUCUUUGAUCUUUUACAACACCAUUCAGAAAUUUUAGGUGGGGUCCUGCACUUAUCUGUAAGGGAUGACUUUGUUACUGCAUAGAUCUCCCAUGUGAUUGUUGUCUAGGCUGUGUCCACGUGGCCAUGACAAAAAUGGAUCUGGGCAUACAGGGAAUCUCGAGCCCAUGUUUUACUCAUGAGCGAAUUUUUGUUUCAAAGACUAAGAAAUUAGUAAGAUCCUGUUCUGCCCUUUUGUGUCUGCCUGGGUACUGCUGUCUUGGUUUGAAAGACAGAUAUCUGCUAGGAAGGGGCAGGACCUCCCUAGAGAUGGGGAAUUCAAAUCCCCUCCCUCCAAAUUAUUCCAAUUAAAAGGAAAAUUAAAGGAGCUUUCAGGCAGAGGUAUGGGGGUAGGAAUAACAGUUCUUUACUAGUAUAUAGGACAAAAUGACAAACAAACAACAACUACAGCAUCAAUAAUAAACAGAAUCAAGAACCUUGAGGGCUUUCUUUUACAAAAGCCCAGAGCAGUUUGAUCUCGGCGCCCCUGCAGGGCUCUGAGAGGCCGAACUGGAAGGAAGGAAAAGUCCCGGGCUGGUGGAUGAGAUGAGGAGCUCUGCGCUGGCAGCUGGAGCAGCAGGGGUGUCCCGGCAGGGCUGGGCAGGGCAGGGCUACAGAGUAGCAGGAGAGCCUCAAAGGUCCGAAGAAGCAGCGGCGGUGGGGGGAGGCUGGAGAAAGCGAGUUCAGGAUUCCCGGGUACACAGCAGAUGACGAUAGAUUUCCCAGGACGAGGCAGAGGCAGAGGGCAGCCUGACCGUCCUCCUCGGCGCUGAGAGCAAGAGUGCCUCCCCCUCCCCCAGAUCUGUCUUUUUGCCUUUCCCAAAGCUCAUCCUCUCUCCCCUCUGAGGGACACUCCCAGGGACUCAGAAACAAUAGGUGUAGCCUCGUGCUGCCAUAUCCCUCAAGUACCCCUUUUUGUUCUGACUAAGUAGUCAUUAAGGCUUCUUGGAAACUUAUGGGAAGAAAUUCUGUGAGAAGAAAAAAAAACCAAAUCUAACCCCCAACACUGCAGUAUCUUUUGUCAACUCAAAAAAGAGAUCAGGAGCUUAAUAGGCAAGAAAGCUGAACUUUUAAGGUUUAUUUUCCAGGAUAAAGGCAAGCAGGAACACAGCAUUUUUUCUAAUCUCUAUUGGUGAAGAUUUUUCUGUGAGUCUUUCCUAAGCUAUGUGCUAAACGGUUGGAAGGGCAUGGUGUGUAUGUGAUUUUUCUGUGUAUACCUUUAUGAACAACAGUGGCUAUUAGGAACUAUUUCUAUUAUAUAGCUCUGUUUUGAUAAAAAAUAUACAGAGAUCAAUACUGGUUGGCUAAUUCCCAUGAAUGCAGUUUGCAGAGGCUUUAUACCUGGCUGAAUGUAAUAUUAGUGUAGAAAAAGAAAUGCUAAAUUAACUCCUUAACGUGGUAAUCAAAUCCCUUUGUAUCAAACCAAACUACUUUUGCUUCAGGUGUGAGUUAGAACUUACCAAACUCUUAGCUGGAGCCAGUCAGGCUGAGUGAGUUUGUCCUAGCUAAGGCAUCAGAACAUCCCAGUUUGCAUCAUGUUGUGUAGCAUCUCCCAGCUGAGUGGGUAUCAGGAUUGGUUUUGGUGGAAGUCAUAGGUGUCCUGUUGUAACUGUCCUCCUCUCCUUCAGAUUGUUUUCAUAGCUCCACUGAAGUGUGAAAGACAGAUCUCUCAAAAGAUCUGUAGCAUAACUUGGAGUGAUUUGCAUGGUUGAGUCAUUGAUCUGACAGUGACUUGAGGCUUGAUGUUUAGCAGUGAAUGGAGAAUAAUUGAACUGAGGGCAGUGGCACUGGGUAUAAAAAGGGACGUGGAAGAUUAAUGAAGUCCUGGAAAGCAGAAUGAAUUGAUAUCUUGAAAAAAGUUGCCAGGCUGAACAAAUUCUUUUGAAAAAUAAUUUGUCUGAACUCAUCCUAUAAAAGUCUUGUGUAGCCACAGCCAAAGAAGUGGUAAUUCUUGUCUUGGCCGUGAGUUUACAGUGCAGUACUUUUAAUGUUAAAUAUGGAGAGAUAUACUUAGCAUCAACUUAUAACAGUAGCUUUGAAAUAUGUAUUGUGCUAUUAUAGCUAAAUGUUUCGCCCAAAGAUGAAUUCACAACAGAUUCAUUUUUCCUCCUCUAAAGAUAUUUUAUUGAAUGUCAACUUUAUGAUGAGUACCAAAAUGCUUAUUUGAUGAUGUAAAAUCUGGGAAGUAGAUCAUGAGUGUCAGACACUGAUUUUAGUGAGGUGAUGCAAUAUUCUUAAUAAAUUUUACCUCUUUUCCUCUGUGUUUCGUUGUGUAAACCUGAUUUACUUGAUCAUCACCAUAUUUUUAACCCGUAGUUUUGUAGGAUUGUCUAUACUUCAAUUAAGGGAUUGGAGGGCUACAAAAGACUAUCCUCUGGAAUGUUCUCUAAUUUUAUUUUAUUAAAAAGUACUUAAGUGUAAUGUUUCCAUAUGUGUUACAGCAUUCUGUAUCUUAAAUAACCUGAAUGAUAGGCAACCAUUAUCAUAAUUAUCAUUAUCAUUUCUUCAUGACUCAUUUCCUUAAAGUGAAGCUGUGACCAGUUGGUCAUUUAUUUAAGGAGAAAUACUGUUAAUCUGUCAAAUCUGUCAUGCUCUGAGAAUGCAGGAAAUUCAUUCUCCUUGCAUCUACCUACUUACAUGCUUAGUAUAAUAUAUUUUUAAAUCAUGCUUGGGAUGUUAGUGGAUUUUUUUGGUAGCUUACAUUAAAAAUUCAUCAAAGCUGUAGGCUUUUUAAGCCCACUGCCUCUUUUAAUCAGUAAGCGAUAUGCAUUUCAGUUCACUGAGCAGUUUAUUUUAUUUUAAUUUAUUUGAAAGGCCACCUUACCUAAUUUUAAAAGUAAAAAUAAAGUCAGUUUUAUUUUUCAUUAAAGGGUUGCAAUUUCUUGCAAGCUGCUCCAUUUCCAGAAAGAUGACUUCAAUAAAUGUCAGAUGUAGAAUGCCAUGACAUAUAAUGACAUUGCUGCAGCAAAGGUCAUAGACUUAUCACAUAUACCUUAGGCCUUUGUCACCAAAACUACCUGGGGGAAAAAAAUCCAGCAUGUUUUAAUUUCUUUUUACUUUCUUCCCUCCCUAGAGUAAUCCCUUCUAGACACCAUGCUUAACUCUUCUCUCUAAUAUAUUAAGGCAAUGAAGACUGAAAAGAUCAGUGUCAUUCCUGUAAUAGUGUUGUCCUUGUUGAAGGAGAGGGGCUUUCACCUGAGAAUUGUGAUGAUUCAGCUUUGAGUACUUAUUCUGGAAGAGUAAUUUUUCAUUGAUUUGUGAGGGUUUUUAGUUUACUUGCUUUUUUGUUUGCUUUGUUUUGCUUUUGUUUUGUGUAUGGUGGUUUUGUUUGGCUUAUUUGAAUUUUUUCUGCACUAAUAUGUAUGAAUUCCUUCAAUUUCUUUGUAUUCAAUGUGUUAUUUCCUUUUGGAAAUGAGAAUAUUGUGUCUUCUCAAAAUUACAUUAAUGUUUAACAUCAGUCACUUGGAACAAAUCUCAGUGAUUUCUGUCUGGAGAAGCAGCACAGACAUGGGAUCACAUUUACUUCAACCUGUUGUAUAUUCUGAAGUUAUAUAUAAACACAUUAAGGGUCAAUUUGAUCACUCACGAGGUUGUCAAAGGAAAUUGAAUGACAGCAGCCACCAUUUAAAUAUCACCAGCUGACUCCAAGCAGCUGCAGAGACAUCCAUCUAGUGCUGCUGUCCAUGAAUCUCUGUGCCUUCACUGUGGCCUGCAAAUAACCAAGGGACAAAGUUUAAGUGGUACUUUUGCCUCCUAGCUUUGGGAAGGGGAGCUUUCACAGUGAGCUCCUGCCUCAUACUUCAGGAGAGGUGAAGGUUGCAGUGCGCAGGACAACCAACCCUUUGGAUGGAUUGAGAAAGGGAGAAUUUGACCUCCUGCAGAGCACCUGGUUGGAAUAUUUACCAAUGUUUUAAGACAUCAGUGUCCCACCUCAGGAGCUUUCUGAAAAUAAGCAUGUUGUCUACUCUGGGGGCAGGCUAUAAGAAAGUGUAAAUGUAAGGAUGUUUGCAUUUUUGUGUAUCAGUACUACUACCUUGGUGCCAAGCUGGUGAUCAGUCUCUCAGCGCACCUCCUCCAGGUUUUAUUUUUUUUGUGGUAUCUAUCUCUAUCUCUAUCUCUAUCUCUAUCUCUAUCUCUAUCUCUAUCUCUAUCUCUAUCUCUAUCUCUAUCUCUAUCUCUAUCUCUAUCUCUAUCUCUAUCUCUAUCUC